GACGAACGCUGGCGGCGUGCCUAAUACAUGCAAGUAGAACGCUGAAGAGAGGAGCUUGCUCUUCUUGGAUGAGUUGCGAACGGGUGAGUAACGCGUAGGUAACCUGCCUUGUAGCGGGGGAUAACUAUUGGAAACGAUAGCUAAUACCGCAUAACAAUGGAUGACACAUGUCAUUUAUUUGAAAGGGGCAAUUGCUCCACUACAAGAUGGACCUGCGUUGUAUUAGCUAGUAGGUGAGGUAAUGGCUCACCUAGGCGACGAUACAUAGCCGACCUGAGAGGGUGAUCGGCCACACUGGGACUGAGACACGGCCCAGACUCCUACGGGAGGCAGCAGUAGGGAAUCUUCGGCAAUGGGGGCAACCCUGACCGAGCAACGCCGCGUGAGUGAAGAAGGUUUUCGGAUCGUAAAGCUCUGUUGUAAGUCAAGAACGGGUGUGAGAGUGGAAAGUUCACACUGUGACGGUAACUUACCAGAAAGGGACGGCUAACUACGUG
rnacentral:rRNA from 1 species